UGCCAGCCGCCGCGGUAAUACGGAGGGGGCAAGCGUUGUUCGGAAUUACUGGGCGUAAAGGGCGCGUAGGCGGCACAUCAAGUCAGAGGUGAAAGCCCCGGGCUCAACCUGGGAACUGCCUUUGAAACUGAUGAGCUAGAGUCCGGAAGAGGAUAGCGGAAUUCCCAGUGUAGAGGUGAAAUUCGUAGAUAUUGGGAAGAACACCAGUGGCGAAGGCGGCUAUCUGGUCCGGUACUGACGCUGAGGCGCGAAAGCGUGGGGAGCAAACAGGAUUAGAUA
rnacentral:rRNA from 1 species